UCCGUAGGUGAACCUGCGGAAGGAUCAUUAUCGUUAGGGCUUCAGCCCCAUCAAGAUAGAACCCUUGCCAUUUAUUUGCGUACCUAUUCGUUUCCUCAGUGGGCUCGCCCGCUAAUAGGGACCUUAACUUAACUCUUGUAUCAUCGUCUGUAUAGUCUAAAUCAAAAUUAAAAUUAAAACUUUUAACAAUAGAUCUCUUGGUUCUGGCAUCAAUAAAGAACGCAGCGAAAUGCAAUAAGUAGUGUGAAUUGCAGAAUUCAGUAAAUCAUCAAAUCUUUGAACGCACAUUGCGCCCUUUAGUAUUCCUUAGGGCAUGCCUGUUCGAGCGUUAUUUACACCUUCAAGCUCUGCUUAGUGUUGGGCGUCUGUCCUGUCCCCCUCAGGGGCGUGGACUCGCCUUAAAUCUAUUAGCAGCCAGUACUGUGGCUUUGAGCGCAGCACAUCAGCGAACCUCAUCGCCAGAGCGUAUCGGCUCCUAGAAGCCCAUUUUUCAUGUUUUGACCUCAGAUUAGGUAGGGAUACCCGCUGAACUUAAGCAUAUCAAUAAGCGGAGGGAAGUCGGACUGGCCAAGGGGCACACCAGGGGGGGGGAUAC
rnacentral:rRNA from 1 species